CCCUUAGACGUUCUGGGCCGCACGCGCGCUACACUGACCAGUGCAACAAGCAUCCGUCCUUGGCCGACAGGCCCGGGCAAUCUUUGAACGCUGGUCGUGAUGGGGAUAGACUUUUGCAAUUUUUUGUCUUCAACGAGGAAUUCCUAGUAAACGCAAGUCAUCAACUUGCAUUGAUUACGUCCCUGCCCUUUGUACACACCGCCCGUCGCACCUACCGAUUGAAUGGUCCGGUGAAGCCUCCGGAUUGGCGCGCACCUCGGUGCCGCCGAGAAGUUGGCUAAACCUUACCAUUUAGAGGAAGGUGAAGUCGUAACA
rnacentral:rRNA from 1 species